rnacentral:rRNA from 1 species
CAGUAGCCGCGGGAAUACGGAGGAUGCGAGCGUUAUUCGGAAUCAUUGGGUUUAAAGGGUCUGUAGGCAGGCUAUUAAGUCAGGGGUGAAAGGUUUCAGCUUAACUGAGAAAUCGCCUUUGAUACUGGUAGUCUUGAAUAUCUGUGAAGUUCUUGGAAUGUGUAGUGUAGCGGUGAAAUGCUUAGAUAUUACACAGAACACCGAUUGCGAAGGCAGGGGACUAACAGACAAUUGACGCUGAGAGACGAAAGCGUGGGGAGCGAACAGGAUUAGAUACCCGUGUAGUCCCUGUCUCUUAUAC